UACAGAGGGUGCGAGCGUUAAUCGGAAUUAUUGGGCGUAAAGCGUGCGUAGGUGGACAUCUAAGUCGGCUGUGAAAUCCCCGGGCUCAACCUGGGAACUGCAUUCGAUACUGGAUGUCUGGAGUAUAGUAGAGGAAAGUGGAAUUCCCGGUGUAGCGGUGAAAUGCGUAGAUAUCGGGAGGAACAUCAAUGGCGAAGGCGGCUUUCUGGACUCAUACUGACACUGAGGCACGAAAGCGUGGGGAGCAAACAGG
rnacentral:rRNA from 1 species